rnacentral:rRNA from 1 species
AGUUUGAUCCUGGCUCAGGAUGAACGCUGGCGGCGUGUCUAAGGCAUGCAAGUCGAACGCGCACCUUCGGGUGCAAGUGGCAAACGGGUGAGUAACACAUUGGUAACCUACCCCUCAGACGGCCAUAACACGGAGAAAUCCGUGCUAAUAGCCGAUGGUCUGUUUCUCUUAAUGAGAAACAGUAAAACUCCGGUGCUGAGGGAGGGGCCUAUGGUCUAUCAGCUUGUUGGUAAGGUAAUGGCUUACCAAGGCUCCGACGGAUAGCGGGUGUGAGAGCAUGACCCGCCUCAAUGGGACUGAGACACUGCCCAUACUCCUACGGGAGGCUGCAGUCAAGAAUCUUCCGCAAUGCACGAAAGUGUGACGGAGCGACGCCGCGUGGUUGAAGACGCCCUUCGGGGUGUAAAAACCUUUUAUCAGGGAAGAACGAUGACGGUACCUGAUGAAUAAGGGGCUGCUAAACUCGUGCCAGCAGCAGCGGUAAUACGAGUGCCCCGAGCGUUAUCCGGAUUUAUUGGGCGUAAAGCGUGUCCAGGUUGUUUGAUAAGUCACAUGUCAAAUCUCAAGGCUCACUUUGAGACCGCGUGUGAAACUAUUAAACUAGAGAACGGGAGAGUAGCGGAUGGCCGGUGUAGCAGUAAAUGCGUUAUAUCGGUG